rnacentral:rRNA from 1 species
UGGGGAAUAUUGCACAAUGGGCGCAAGCCUGAUGCAGCCAUGCCGCGUGUAUGAAGAAGGCCUUCGGGUUGUAAAGUACUUUCAGCGGGGAGGAAGGGAGUAAAGUUAAUACCUUUGCUCAUUGACGUUACCCGCAGAAGAAGCACCGGCUAACUCCGUGCCAGCAGCCGCGGUAAUACGGAGGGUGCAAGCGUUAAUCGGAAUUACUGGGCGUAAAGCGCACGCAGGCGGUCUGUCAAGUCGGAUGUGAAAUCCCCGGGCUCAACCUGGGAACUGCAUUCGAAACUGGCAGGCUAGAGUCUUGUAGAGGGGGGUAGAAUUCCAGGUGUAGCGGUGAAAUGCGUAGAGAUCUGGAGGAAUACCGGUGGCGAAGGCGGCCCCCUGGACAAAGACUGACGCUCAGGUGCGAAAGCGUGGGGAGCAAACAGG